UACGUAGGGUGCGAGCGUUGUCCGGAAUUAUUGGGCGUAAAGAGCUCGUAGGCGGUUCGUCGCGUCGGCUGUGAAAUCCCGAGGCUCAACCUCGGGUCUGCAGUCGAUACGGGCGGACUGGAGUUCGGCAGGGGAGACUGGAAUUCCUGGUGUAGCGGUGAAAUGCGCAGAUAUCAGGAGGAACACCGGUGGCGAAGGCGGUGGUCUGGGGCCUGCACUGACGCUCAUGCACGAAAGCGUGGGGAGCAAACAGG
rnacentral:rRNA from 1 species